UACGGAGGGGGCAAGCGUUGUCCGGAAUCAUUGGGCGUAAAGCGCGCGUAGGCGGUCCGAUAAGUCGGCUGUGAAAGUCCAGGGCUCAACCCUGGAAAGCCGGCCGAUACUGUCGGACUAGAGUCCGGAAGAGGCAAGUGGAAUUCCCGGUGUAGCGGUGAAAUGCGCAGAUAUCGGGAGGAACACCAAUUGCGAAGGCAGCUUGCUGGGACGGUACUGACGCUGAGGCGCGAAAGCGUGGGGAGCAAACAGG
rnacentral:rRNA from 1 species